rnacentral:rRNA from 1 species
CCUACGGGGGGCUGCAGUGAGGAAUAUUGGUCAAUGGACGAGAGUCUGAACCAGCCAAGUCGCGUGAAGGAUGACUGCCCUAUGGGUUGUAAACUUCUUUUAUAUGGGAAUAAAACAGGGUAUGCAUACCCUCUUGUAUGUACCAUAUGAAUAAGGAUCGGCUAACUCCGUGCCAGCAGCCGCGGUAAUACGGAGGAUCCGAGCGUUAUCCGGAUUUAUUGGGUUUAAAGGGAGCGUAGGUGGAUUGUUAAGUCAGUUGUGAAAGUUUGCGGCUCAACCGUAAAAUUGCAGUUGAUACUGGCAGUCUUGAGUGCAGUAGAGGUGGGCGGAAUUCGUGGUGUAGCGGUGAAAUGCUUAGAUAUCACGAAGAACUCCGAUUGCGAAGGCAGCUUACUGGACUGCAACUGACACUGAUGCUCGAAAGUGUGGGUAGCAAACAGGAUUAGAUACCCCUGUAGUC